UGGGGAAUUUUGGACAAUGGGCGAAAGCCUGAUCCAGCAAUGCCGCGUGUGUGAAGAAGGCCUUCGGGUUGUAAAGCACUUUUGUCCGGAAAGAAAUCCUUGGCUCUAAUACAGUCGGGGGAUACGGUACCGGAAGAAUAAGCACCGGCUAACUACGUGCCAGCAGCCGCGGUAAUACGUAGGGUGCAAGCGUUAAUCGGAAUUACUGGGCGUAAAGCGUGCGCAGGCGGUUUGCUAAGACCGAUGUGAAAUCCCCGGGCUCAACCUGGGAACUGCAUUGGUGACUGGCAGGCUAGAGUAUGGCAGAGGGGGGUAGAAUUCCACGUGUAGCAGUGAAAUGCGUAGAGAUGUGGAGGAAUACCGAUGGCGAAGGCAGCCCCCUGGGGCCAAAUACUGACGCUCAUGCACGAAAGCGUGGGGGAGCAAAACAGGAUUNGAUACCCUGGUAG
rnacentral:rRNA from 1 species